UACGGGGGGGGCAAGCGUUGUUCGGAAUUACUGGGCGUAAAGGGCUCGUAGGCGGCCAACUAAGUCAGACGUGAAAUCCCUCGGCUUAACCGGGGAACUGCGUCUGAUACUGGAUGGCUUGAGUUUGGGAGAGGGAUGCGGAAUUCCAGGUGUAGCGGUGAAAUGCGUAGAUAUCUGGAGGAACACCGGUGGCGAAGGCGCACAGCUGGCCCGAUACUGACGCUGAGGCGCGAAAGCUAGGGGAGCAAACGGG
rnacentral:rRNA from 1 species